ACAGAAGAUGCUGAUUGACUAGAUGAGUGCAGCCUUAGCAGCGACACAUCUGAAGAUGGCUGUGGUGUGAUCGUUUGUGGCACAUUCUCCAUCCAGAGAAGAAAACCGGUCCAUAGGCCGGGUGAAUGGUGCUUUAACAGUGCCAACAACCUCUUCAUAGGUGAAAGUGGAACUGACAAUAGCCUGGAUUUGUUAAGCAUUAGCACUGACAUAUCUUCAACUGAGGAACGAAGUGGCGCUUGGCAGAAUGGUCCUGCUAGAGAAACAUGUGCAUGUACAGAUUGCAUGAACAUGUACGCAGCAGGGCCUUCAAUGAGCCUGGAGGCGCAGAGUGACAAAGAGGCAACUCCUGUAGACACUGUGGAGAACAGCACAGAAAAACAUACCAGAUUGAAGAAGAAGAUGAUGAAAGUGAUCUCUUCAUUUUUCAAGAAAACAUGGAAGGCCUUUAAGUGGCCCUCCUUCUGCUGCUGCAAGACCAGAGUUGAGCCAUUUGUGCCUCUACAAGAGGACUCAGAGCCGGACCCAGAGCCAGCAGAUCCCAAACCACACUUUGUUGAAGAGCCCUUUGGUUGCAGGCCAACUGAUGAUUUUCGACAGUUUGACUUUGAAAUGGUAAUGAUAGAAUCAGGGAGCUUUGGAUUUCUGUGAAAUGAUUUCAAUUAAUGGUGCCACUGUGAAGGCAGCAGAAACCUCAAGCCCAUCACAUCAGGAUCAGAGAGCUCAGACCAGCCUUCGUCUGCCAGCCUGAACAAAUUAAUAUUAAUAUUAAUGAUUUGUAUACACUAUAUGCACAUGCACAAGUAGACUUGUGCCUGAAGUAGCAUGGUUGAAUGGCCAAAGCAGUGCAAAGUUUCUAGCAGUAUUUAGCUCUUAAUAUAAUUUUUCAAAUGAUUUUAAAGGUAAAAUGUGUUUUAAAGGCAAAUGAUAUAUGAAAAUGUAUACAUUUUAAUUACACUGUAUAAUUUUAUGAAUUAUUUUUAAGCCAGUAUUUGUAACCGAAGGAAUCUCAUAGGUUAUUGCUAUUAUGAAUUUACAUGAAAGUAAUCCAUUUACAUAAUGAUGUUUAAAAUGUAAUAAAAAAAUAUUUAUAAAUGUAAAAACUCCCUUU
ensembl:lncRNA